CAGAUAUGCUGCUAUAUCUGUGGAUGGCAAUAGAAAACAUUAUCGUUUCAGAAAGUCCAAAGGGACAGAUGAACCAUCACUUUUCGAUGGACAGGAUGCAGAAGUGUCUGCCUUUGUUGAUCAGAUAAGAAGUCAGAUGAAAACUAGGACUGGUCAUGAUGUCUGCGGGCCGGCAACAUUUACUGCAGGACGGGAAACGUCAC